rnacentral:rRNA from 1 species
CCUACGGGAGGCAGCAGUGAGGAAUUUUCUGCAAUGGGCGCAAGCCUGACAGAGCAAUACCGCGUGAGGGAUGACUGCCUACGGGUUGUAAACCUCUUUUCUCAAGGAGGAAGAACUGACGUUACUUGAGGAAUAAGCAUCGGCUAACCCUGUGCCAGCAGCCGCGGUAAUACAGGGGAUGCAAGUGUUAUCCGGAAUUAUUGGGCGUAAAGCGUCUGCAGGUGGAUCUAUAAGUCUUUUGUUAAAUCUUUGAGCUUAACUCAAAAUCUGCAAAAGAAACUAUAUAUCUUGAGUAUGGUAGAGGUAAAGGGAAUUUCCAGUGGAGCGGUGAAAUGCGUAGAUAUUGGAAAGAACACCAACAGCGAAGGCACUUUACUGGGCUAUUACUGACACUCAGAGACGAAAGCUAGGGGAGCAAACGGGAUUAGAUACCCCGGUAGUCCUAGCCGUAAACGAUGGAUACUAGAUAGUUAUAUACUUUAAGUUAUAGUAGUAGUGUAGUCUACGUACGUAGUAUACCGUCCGUCGGUAGUAGUGUCGUCGCGAGAGUAGAACGUAACGUAAGUAAGUUAGUUAGUACGUUGUUAGAGAGCGACGACGACGACGACGGAGGAGGAGG